rnacentral:tRNA from 1 species
GUAGCUUAAACCACUAAAGCAUAACACUGAAAAUGUUAAAAUGGACAACCA